rnacentral:lncRNA from 1 species
UGUUGGUCAGGCUGGUCUUGAACUCCUGACCUCAGGUGAUCCGCUUGCCUCGGCCUCCCAAAGUACUGGAAUUACAGGCAUGAGCCACUGUACCCAGCCAGCUGAUCAGACUUUCUAUAGCAGAGUAAGGAAAAAAGAAUGCUGAGAACCAGGCUAAUGCUAAUCUUCUAAGGUUAAAAUUCUAAAGGAGGCUAGGCACAGCGGCUCACGCUUGUAAUACCAGCACUUUGGGAGGCCAAGGCAGGUGGAUCACUUGAGGUUGGGAGUUCGAGACCGGCCUGGCUAACAUGGUGAAACUCCGUUUCUACUAAAAAUACAAAAAAUGAGCCGGGCGUGGUGUUGGGCACCUGUAAUCACAGCAA